GCCACUUCCAUAUCAUUUUCCAUAUUGUUUUGUGUUUUGGGUCUAUCCUUGCUUCUGUAAAUACAAUAGACAACCAAUUGAAGGAUGCCUGUUGCACACCCAACACAGUUUGGCGACUUCAGAAGAAAACGGAUAGGUCCAGAUUGCAUAAGAAGUUCGUUUUACAAUAGCAGGUGAGCCCCCUGCUUUUAUUAUUUCAUUUAUAUAUGCACAAAAGUUUUUUUUUCAUUUGACUAGAUUGCAUAUGAAAUUACUAACCGUGAUAUAGGGAUCCCUCCCUAGGAGUCCAUAUACCAUCCAGAUUAAACUGGUUAAGAAGGAAAAUAAUGACAAGUAGAAAGGCAUGAACUCAACACUUCUCGUCCUUACAACUUGUUUCUGCAAUUGUGAGAGUGCAAAAAAGGUUAAAUUACUAGACAAUGUGCCAAAAAAUAAAAAAGCAUCAAUUGCAUCAUUAGAAACUACUUUCUUCAUUUUUUUCCUUGUCUAUAUUAAUGCAUUUUCUGUAGUAAUUUAGUAUAUGAGAAGUAUUCAUUGAGUUGUAUUUCUUAUGGUACUUAUUCUAGUUUCGUACUUCUUGUAGCAUGAGUUUUAAAUGAUUUUGCCAUGAUGCCUUUAACUGUUUGUAUCUGUAGUCCCUGUUUCUAGAGCUUCUAUAACUAAUAGUACUCACCACAGCAACAAGGGGAGAGCUGUACAUCAGCAUGGCAGACAACACACCAAUACUUCCAACAAAUAUGUUGCGGAUGUGGUGGGUGUGGAUUGUAAAGCUUGAGAUUAAUACGGUCAUGCCGAAGAUUGCCAGAACCAGUGAUACAAUUAGGAUAACAAGCUUCUGCAAGUUAGUCAGGAUUCUUGGUCAGCUUAUGAAUAUUGAAUCCUUUUUUAGGGCAUAAUUUGGUUCUUUCAAAAACUCCAUGCUGACAUGCUUAAAACUUGAGUAUUCCUACCUGAACAAAACUAAUAACACACAGUAUAUUUCUUUAAAAGAUAAAUGAAAAAAAGUUCAAAUAUUCGUUAUGUAUUGCAUGUGUCGUAGAAGAAUAUGUGAUUCGAUUUUGUAAAUUAGACAUCCAUUUUAGCAGGAUUACUUGAACAUAAAGAUUGAGGAAUUCCAUCAUGGACUCAAUAAUUGCUUACCACAGCAUGAAAAUAAGGAAUUUAUUAGCUUUGAAGUUUGAACUGUACACUGGUUACGCAAGCUAUAACAUAUUGAGUGGGCAGUAUGUAGAAUUUUCUACCGUAUAGUCCCCCCCCCUUUUAUUAUUUUUUUUUUGGGGGGGGGGGGUGCUAUCUGCUUCUGUUUUUUUUUUUUACAUUUUUAAACCUUCUGAUGUCCUAGUGUCUACUUGAGCUUACCGUAUCAAGUAUGUGAUAGUGAAACUGGCUAUAGAAGCCUGACAGAGAUUAACAUAAGCUACCGUAAAAGGAGCAAUAUUGAGUUCUUUAGAAACGAUUUACCUUUUUUUCUCUUGGUGCAAACCAUAGGUAUAUGCUGAUGAAUGAUAUUUCAAAGAGUACUCCUAUUGAGCUGAUGAGGAAAACUGUCAAGUUCUUCCACCCAGAACUAACAACUGGAAAACCGUACCAGCUAUAUGUGAGGCAGCUGAACAGAGUCAGGAUAUAUGAAUGAAGCAACUCGGUGGCUCAAGGGUGGUUGUGCUUGGUGGUGACUGGUGAAGAAUAUUGCAUAUGAUGAGCUGUUCUGCUAGAAGAUGGGAGUGGUGAAGAAUAUUUUUGAUGAUUCAUGUACAUUAACUGCCACGUUUGAUGUCAGGCUUCUGGUCGUGCCAUCCCACUCCUUUUUUUUCCCAGAUUCUUCGCAGGUGCAUCGUUUGUACGAUGAGUUCUUUCCUAUCUCGAUCUGGUCAAGAAUUCAUGGUUUUGCUUAGGUGGCACAUACAGAUUGUAAGUAGUAAGUAUAUAUAUGGAAGGUACUUCGUCAAUGUUCAAUAGAAAUCAUCGCAAGCCUAGCACAAGUGCAGAACAUUUGGGCACCUGAAUGGGUGUAAGGAGUGUAACUUCCAUACGCUCCUACAAAUGGGAGUUUGCACGCUUCAACUAUUGCACACUUGCUUCGAGUGCAAAUUAUGAAGUUGCACAUUGACAUGAUGUUAAUAUAACUGCUGAAUAGGCAAACACGAUCAAAG